rnacentral:ncRNA from 1 species
ACCCGUUGCAUGUGCGGGACCUCACAUGCACCUCCCUGUUGGACUAGCCCGGGCCGCCGUGCCCGGGUAUUUUU